rnacentral:rRNA from 1 species
UACGAAGGGGGCGAGCGUUGUUCGGAUUUACUGGGCGUAAAGGGCGUGCAGGCGGCUAUCCAAGUCAGGCGUGAAAGCCCCGGGCUUAACCUGGGAGGUGCGUCUGGGACUGGGUGGCUAGAGUUCGGGAGAGGAGAGUGGAAUUCCCAGUGUAGAGGUGAAAUUCGUAGAUAUUGGGAAGAACACCGGUGGCGAAGGCGGCUCUCUGGACCGAGACUGACGCUGAGGCGCGAAAGCGUGGGGAGCAAACAGG